CCCUUAGACGUUCUGGGCCGCACGCGCGCUACACUGACGAAGGCAACGAGCUUUCCUUUACCGAAAGGUACGGGUAAUCUUUUGAAACUUCGUCGUGCUGGGGAUAGGUCCUUGCAAUUUUUGAUCUUAAACGAGGAAUUCCUAGUAAGCGCAAGUCAUCAACUUGCGUUGAUUACGUCCCUGCCCUUUGUACACACCGCCCGUCGCUACUACCGAUUGAAUGGUUUAGUGAGGCCUUCGGAUCCGCGACUCGUUUUGUGGAGAAGUUGGACAAACUCAGUCAUUUAGAGGAAGUAAAAGUCGUAACA
rnacentral:rRNA from 1 species